GCCUUCGUGGUAUAAUGGUCAGCCCGCUGGGCUCGUAUUCCAGAUAUCCGUGGUUCGAGCCCCGGCGAGGACA
rnacentral:tRNA from 1 species